rnacentral:rRNA from 1 species
UACAGAGGUCUCAAGCGUUGUUCGGAUUCAUUGGGCGUAAAGGGUGUGUAGGUGGCGCGCUAAGUCGGGUGUGAAAUUUCGGAGCUUAACUCCGAAACUGCAUUCGAUACUGGCGUGCUUGAGGACUAGAGAGGAGACUGGAAUUCAUGGUGUAGCAGUGAAAUGCGUAGAGAUCAUGAGGAAGACCAGUGGCGAAGGCGGGUCUCUGGACAGUUCCUGACACUGAGACACGAAGGCCAGGGGAGCAAACGGG